rnacentral:rRNA from 1 species
UUUACCCUACGGGAGGCAGCAGUGAGGAAUAUUGGUCAAUGGGCGAGAGCCUGAACCAGCCAAGUCGCGUGAAGGGUGACGGCCCUACGGGUUGUAAACUUCUUUUGUCAGGGAGCAAUUGGGUCCACGUGUGGGCUUAGCGCGAGUCCCUGAAGAAAAAGCAUCGGCUAACUCCGUGCCAGCAGCCGCGGUAAUACGGAGGAUGCGUGCGUUCUCCGGAUUUAUUGGGUUU